rfam:Ovis aries breed Texel chromosome 17, whole genome shotgun sequence.
CCUGGCGGCUCAGAGGGUAAAGCGUCUGCCUGCAAUGCAGGAGAACUGGGUUCGAUCCCUGGGUCGGGA